rfam:Oryza barthii chromosome 7, whole genome shotgun sequence.
UUUAAGUGCAACCGUGAGUUUCCGUGUCCAAUUUUAAUCAUCUAUCUUAUUUGAAAUUUUUUUAUAAUUAGUAUUUUUGUUGUUACGAGAUGAUAAAACAUUAACAACACUUUACUCAUGACUUAUGUUUUUAAUGUUUUUUUAAAAAAAAUAAAUAAGAUGGACUAUCAAAAUUUGGUACGAAAAAUCAUGGCUGCACUUAAA